CCCAUGGCUUUCCAGACUCUGAAGCCUCUCUUCCAGGGCUUUGACAGGAAAAGAGACAGCAUCAAAACCUUUCCUAGGUAUUUUGAGGCUAUAUGGCAUCCGAUACCAUCCCCUGACCUUCCGAAAAAAACAGACCGACCCUCACAGUGGAGGAAUAGCUCAUUUUGAGUCUGACAUGAGUGCCAGGCUCUACUACUCAAAUUCUGUUCUUAUUUUCUCACCCCUGGGCACCUCCCACAUCCAAGUAAAAAAGAGCCCUCGACUGCAUUCUCUCUUGGUGGUAUCACUACUAGAAAAUGGAGCCUUUUCUUUCUGAGGUGAGAACGAAGGACCUGAACCCAGGGCCUCACACAUGGUGAUGAGUGUUCUACCAGGCUCCUCUCUAUCUGUGAGCCACAUGUAUUUGCACUCACAGGUGAUUUGGUGGGUUCCUGAAGUCGUUCUAGUCCUGUCUUAUUGCAGUCCCAGAUGAUCUCAGAGGUCAUGCCACCUUCCAGAUACCAGGCUGCAGAUGCUACCAUGACUCUGCCCCAACUUCUCUGGGCAGAUGACCUCACCAAUGUGUCCUGGACUCUCAUCUCUCCAGUGCUCUGGCCCACUAGAGAAAGAUAGAAACAGGCUGGGGGUAUGGAUCGACCUGUCAACACCCAUGCUCAGUGGAGAAGCAGCUACAGAAGCCAGAAAUCCUACCUUCUACUCCCCAUAAACAACCUUGGUCCAUACUCCCAGCAGGGGAGAAGUGAUAGGAGGAAGAUAAGAGGACUCUGCACUCCAGCUCCAUCAGCACCCAGAGAGAGAGAAGGAAAAGGAGAGAGACAUAUGGAGGUAGCUUUGAUGUCACGAUUAGUUUAUAGGGAAAGAGAGGAUUGUAUCAGGAAAAGAAGGGGUAACUUUGUAUAAAUGUGGACAGAUAGUUGUAGAGAAGAUGGUUGGCCCAUGUCUACAACUUUAGGGAAACUGUGGUGGAUUGCAAUGAGGUCAGUGAAGAUUCAGAACUCUGGUGGUGAGAAUGGUGUGAAUUCAAACCCCUGUUGACAUGUAAUUCUGUAAUUUAAAAAUAUAAAAAUAAAUAAAUAAAUAAAUAAAAGAUUCCAGCAUUGUGAAAAUGAAAAAAAAAUGUUUACAGUAUACCAAUACUAAAGAAUUUCAUGAUGAAAUACAUAGUGGUAUUAAUAAAAGUGAUUGAAAUUGUAUAAUGAAAUGUGUCAACUGUUGGAAGCUCUGUAUGACUCAAAUCAAUCAGUAUUUUUGAAAUGACCAAAAACCUGAUGCAAGUACAAGAGAGAAUAUAUUUUAAAAACAGUGAGGUGCAAAAAAUCAUUGAUAUGGUCCAAUCUUUAGGAAGUCAAAAUGAUCACUUGAGGGCUGGUGAGAUCACUCACCUACGAGGCCUGCUUUGCCGUGUGCACCACUCAGGUUCAAGGUCAGCCCCCACUGCACUGAAAGAAGCUCCGGUGCUGUGGUGUCUUCAUCUUUCUCUGCCUGUCUGUCUGGGGAGAAAGGAGGCCCAGAGUGCUGAAUCUCCAGGGACAAGGGGAAAAAAAAAAAAGAGAGAAAGAGAAAAAAGGAAAAAAGAAAAGAAAGAAAAGUCGUGAUCACUUGUUAAGUUUUGAUGUCAAGUCAAAAGGAGAAAUAUUCAGAAUUAUCUGAAAAAGCUAUUAAAACUGUCCUCUUUCAUAUUUAUGUGAGAUCAUUUUUUUGUUUUUGUCUUUCAACAUCAUUCACAAUAAUGUACCACAUAAGCUAUAUAAGACUGGAUUCAAAAACAGAUACAGAGGCAGAGAAGAUAGCAUAUUAAUUAUGAAAAAAAACUCUAAUGCCUGAGGCAACGAAAAUGCCACCUUCAGUCCCUGGAGAUGAACUGAGCACUUCUCUGGUUAAAAAGAAAAAGGAGGAGGAGGAGAAGAAGGAGAAUAAGAAAAAGAAGAAGGAGAAGGAGAUGGAGGAGAAGGAGAAGGAGGUGGAGGGAAGACAGCGAAGGAAGGAGAAAAAAAAAAACAUAUAGAAUUACCUCUGUGCUUUAUUAAGUUAGACAUUAAAAUAUUUAUAAAAAUAUAGAACAGUGCCUCUUUUUUCAGCUUUGCUCAUUAAAAUAUUUAUUAUGUUUUAUAUAAUGGACUAUAUUCUUUUUUAAAUUUUAUUCAUUUA